UCCGCGCACGCGCACGACGCCGCAGGCCCCGGCCCCGGCCCGCGGCAGCUGAACGGCAGAGCCUGUAGCUGCACAGCUGUGCUUCCACCUGGCGUUCAGUACCUCGUGCCCGAGAGCGGAAAAGGGAAAUCGCGAGCGGAGGACCGAUGUGCUGGCCACGUGGGCCCCGCCGGGCCGACUCCGGACCCUGCUGCCGCCCAUUCCUCCGGUGCAAGGGACCUGGAAGUGAUCCCGGUGCCGCUCUGCUCCCACCAGCUAGGGAGCAGAGGCGCGGGAGGGAAGGGGCGUCCCGGGGGUCGCCAGCACGCUGCGGGCAGGGCUGGCAGCCGCCUCCACGCCCCCGCGCUGGAAGCCUCGUCUUUGUAACAUCGAGGUAUCCUGUAACUAGAUGGGUCCUGGCCUGCGGAGGUAGUUUCCCCUGUGAAGCCAGGGACUCAGCCAGGAGCGUGAGGGGACCCGGAUCCUGAGUCUCCAAGCCGCCCACUACCCUCUGCUUUACCGGAUGGAACUCAUCAGUAACUAGGUCUGAGGCACAGUCAGUGAAUACCUGUUUAAUGAAUGCAUGCAUAAAUGAAUGAAUGGAUGAUCCAGCUCUUCCUGGAGCAGGCACGACUUCCACAGAAACAGAGCAAACGCUAGCCGUAAGCAGAAGUGAGUCUUCUUCCUAUGUGAAGGGAUGUGGGGGUGGUACGCCCCUAUCAACUUUAUCUUUACAUAGUCCUUGAGCGCCCACCGGGCACCGUGUUCCCCGGACUAGAGGGAGGGAGAGGGGGGUUAGCUCCACCCUUAACAAGCUUAAUUCUUGAUGAGAUUAACCAUCAAAACCCAUCAGAGAACGUUAUAGCUCCAGCGCUGAAUGAGACAUCUUUGAUUCUGUGGUGAUGCGGACUUUGUGCCUCUCUGUGAGGAAUCACUUUGUUCCAAUGACGCAAUUUUCCUCACACUCCGGAAGUGUCCUGCACUGCCAGAAUCGCCCAGCUUCCCGGCACACCUAUCAACCAGUCGUUCCCAGCACUGCCCAGUAUGCAGCCUCCAGGCAGAGGGCCUGGAUGUCUUGGCAGGUGUUUCCGAAAAAUCCAAUCCACCCUCCAAGGUGGAAAGUGUGCCAUCUCUGCCCAUAAUCCAAAUGGCGUGCCUGAGGCAUAGAAAGCAGCUUUCAGGGAGGCCUUCCUUCCUCUGAGCAAUGGUGGCAUCAUCAGAAAAGUGGAGCUCCUCCAAAAGGAUCUGCUGGAAGCAGAGGACGCCCAUGUCGCCUGGUGACUCCCUCUGACCCAACAAGUUGCAGCACCUCUGCUGGGCUUUGCCACUGCCCCAUUUUUGCCAGAGCCUCACCCUGGUGGGGCCCCACCUCUGGGAAGCCCCAGCGCCUGCAAGAUUUUUUCCUCUCGUGACAGGGAGCAGCAUGCGGAGGGCCCUUGCACAACCUGGGUCUUCAGGAAGUUCCUUGCCCAGGUGUUGGCCCAGCUCUCUUCAUGGUUCCAAGAAGGCUGCCCCAGGAAGGCUUGUGGACAGAGGGAGAAGCAUCUCUUCCUCUAUGUCUCUUUUUAUCUAAGAAACCAGUUUGACCAGCAUCCUUCCCCUCGGCUCCCCAGGAGGAAUGCACGGAUCCCUUCGCCUUCCCCCAUCCCUCCAUGGUUGACUAAACCCACUAGGAUCCACUCUUUUGCGUGGAAAUGGGUUCAGGCCUCCCACGAAGAGCAUGAAGAUGCCCUCUGUUAUGGGUUACAUUAUGUCCCCUGCCCCCGAGACCGUAUGUUGAGUCCUAACCCUAGUAUUGCAGAACGUGAAUUUAUUAGGAGAUAGGGUCUUUAUGGAGGUCAUUAAGUUAAAUGAGGGUGUUAGGGUGGGCUGGUGUCCUGAUAUAAAGGGGAAAUUUGGGGCUGGGUGUAGUGGCUCACACAUAUAAUCCCAGUGCCUCGAGAGGCCAAGGCAGGAGGAUUGCUUGAGGGCAGGAGUUCAAGACCAGCUUGGGUAACAUAGGGAGACCGGUAUCUAUAAAAAAAAUUAAAAACAAAAAAAUUAGCCGAGUGUGGUGGUGCAUGCCUGUAGUCCCAGCUACUCAGGAGGCUGAGGUGGGAGGAUCGCUUGAGUCCAGGAAUUUGAGGCUGCAGUGAGCCAUAAAAAGAUGGGGGACGAUGGAGACGCACAGGGAAAACACCUUGUGAAUGCGGCAGAGAUAAGGGUGAUGCCUCUACACACCGAGGAACUUCAGAGACAACCAGUAAGUCACUGGGAGCUCGGGGAAGGCACAGCGCAGAUGCUCGCUGCCCUCAGAGGGAAGCCAGCCCGCCAACCCCUUGAUCUCAGACCUCUGGCCCCUGGAACUGUGAGAUGAUAGAUUUCUGUCGUUUAAGCACAGUGGUGCUGUGUUAUAGCAGCCCUAGGGAACCAUCCACUAUCAGAACAAAAGCAGGGCUGGACUGCUAGAAGAAAGGAGAGGAGAAUGGCAGAGGAUACCCACCUUGGGGCUGAAUCUGAGAUCACUCCAGGGCUCCCCAGGUUGUUUUGAAGAAUGGAGAUGGAUUUGUGCAGGGCUCACUGUAGAAGCUCAGUGCAGCAUGCGACGCUUAUAAGGCUGCAAUCCCCAGAGCUCAGUCCCUGAAGAGCGCUGCAUUCACAGACAUCAGCCAGCAGACAAACCAGUACCUAUUGUCCCUGACCCCCAGAAUCCAGCAGACAUAUAAAAGAUGGUUGUUAACCCCACUAAGUUUUGGGGUAAUUUGUUAUGCAGCCAUGCAACUGAAAGAAGCAGCUACAAUAUUUUUAUAAUGAAAUUCUUAGCCAGGACCCUCAUAGCCUAGCAAGAAGUUCUGUCUGGAAGAGCCCAGCUUUGGGGUUGGGUAUGUCUGGGUUUUAAUAUGUCAAGAGGGCAGGCCCUGGAGACGGAGCACAUGGAUUUGAAUCCCAGCCUCUCAUAGGCAGGUUAAUUAAUUUCCCUGAAUCUCAGUUUCUUCAUCUCUCAAUGGAGAAAAUAAUAGAAGCCACCUCACGGGAAUUAAAUGAGAUUAUUUACGCACAGCACCAAGGCUGUGGCUACUGUAUUUGACCCCUGAAACAGUUAAUUUUUCUUGACAUCCCUUCCUUGGUAUAUGUAUUAGUCAGGGUUCUCUAGAGGGACAGAACUAAUAGGAUAUCUCUCUCUCUAUAGAUUUAUAUAAAGGGGAGUUUAUUAAGUAUUAACUUACACAAUCACAAGGUCCUGCAAUAGGUCGUCUGCAGGCUGAGGAGCAAGGAGAGCCAGUUCAAGUCCCAAAACUGAAGAACUUGGAGUCUGAUGUUCGAGUCCAGGAAGCAUCCAGCACAGGAGAAAGAUGGAAGCUGGGAGGCCAGGCCUGACUCUCCUUUUCAUGUUUUUCUGCCUGCUUUAUAUCCGCUGGCAGCUGAUUAGGUGGUGCCCACCAGAUUAAGGGUGGAUCUGCCUUCCCCAGCCCACUGACUCAAAUGUUAAUCUCUUUUGGCAACACCCUCACAGACACACCCAGGAUCAAUACUGUCAGUUCAAUCAAGUUGACACUCAGUAUGAACCAUCGCAAUACAAUAGGAUUACUUUCUGUGAUAACCUGUGUAAAAAUAGGCAGUCAUGAUUUUCCUGUUGUGUUCUUCAGGUGUAAAACAAAAAAUUUUAAAAGAAGAAACUUCAAUUUUAAAGAUAUUAUUCAAACUAAGUUAAACAUUUUGUGUAUAAAUUAAAACAAUAAAUUUUGUUUGCAUGUAUCAAACAAAAAUAUUCCAUCUUGCAGUUAACAUUUUCACUGUUUAAAUUUUCAACACCAAAAUCCCAUGUGUAAUGAUGGAAUUUAACUGGUUAAAUGCUGCCUCUUUGCCUUCACAAUCACAGUGGUACUGUUUCUUGCAAAUGUCAUGAGAGUUGGAGAUAUGUCUUGCUCCUGUUUUGGGCGCAAAGGUGAGGUGGUCAGUUGUUGGUCUGGGACUUUCAGUGCUAAAAUCAGAAAAGUCCUGGGUGAACCGGAACAAGUUGGCCCGCCAGCUGAAGGACUGAAAAAACUUUGGACACUUUCCCAAUGAACACGUAGCCAAAUCUGUGUGAAUCAGAGGCCAGCUGUGGAACCAGGAGUUCUCUGAAUUAAUUUAGGUGCGGAAUAUGUUUAUGAAAGGACAACUAAUAAAAACCUGAAGUUCACAU
rnacentral:lncRNA from 10 species